rnacentral:lncRNA from 1 species
GAGCAUGUUUAUUAAGAUUUGGUUAAUUUGCUUAUACAUGACAUAUUCAAACGUAUGGAAAUACCUGUAUAUUAUUACAAGGCAACUAAUCUAAGUGGUUUAUGGAAAAAAAUGAAGCCAAACUAAGUAAACCUACUAUCUUAUUUAUAGUAGGAUUCUCUAACUUAACUUCAGCAAGAGCUUCCGCACAAUAAUUAGGUCCAUCACCAGC